ensembl:lncRNA
AAAAAUCAAAUCAACAGCUGUGAAUCUUUCAUCUGAGAAAAAGCCUAUACCCGAAUAAGCCUCUGGCUCAGAAAGAUUUCAAAGACACCUGCUGGUCAGAGCGAGUUUGGUCUUACUAGUUUCAGAUAAUAUAUAGCUGCGGCAGUAAGGAUUAAAGAUAGCUAUAUAUAACAUAAUAUAUAUAAGGAUGUAGGUAUAUAUAUAUAUAUAUAUAUAUAUAUAUAUAUAUAUAUAUAUAUAAAUAACAUCCUCGUGAUUUUGUCUGACUUACAGGAAACCAUUAUGUGAAUAUGAAGAAUAAAUGACAGGAGGCGAGAAGGUCUUGCUGCCCCUGGCCAGUGUGUCGUGUGGCUGAGCAGAAUCACACACAGCGCGCAGAACAGUGUAGUGUUGAGUGGAGUCAGUGCCGCUGCAUGAUUCAGUGCUGUCGAGAGGAAUGAGUAAACGGGGCGAUAGACUGACACAACAGUUGAAGAAAUACUAAGGACGUUUUCAUCCUCUUGGAUACCGGAUUUUUCGUUAAGUUCAUCUGUACUUAAACGCGAGGAUAUCACAAAACACGGGGCAAGGAGAAGCUUCAGCAAGAGGCACAAGUAUGGAGGGGGACUGUCUUAGUUGCAUCAAGUACCUCAUGUUCAUCUUCAACUUCUUCAUUUUUCUUGGAGGUGGAUUCCUUCUCGGGGUGGGAAUCUGGGUGCUGGUGGAUCCGACAGGUUUCCGGGAGAUUGUGGCAGUCAACCCUCUCCUGUUUACAGGAGUCUAUGCAAUUUUGAUCAUGGGCGGGAUGCUGUUCCUACUGGGAUUUCUGGGCUGCUGCGGAGCCAUACGAGAAAAUAAAUGUCUUCUACUGUUUUUCUUCAUGCUCAUACUCAUCAUAUUUCUGGCAGAGCUGGCGAUGGCCAUUCUGGCAUUCAUUUUCCGGGAGCAUCUCACCAGAGAUUACUUCACCAAGGAGUUGAAAGCACAUUACCAAGGCACCAAUAGCACUGAUGUCUUCACCUCCACAUGGAACGCCAUUAUGACCACAUUUGAUUGCUGUGGGGUGAACAGUGCUGAAGACUUCGAUGAUCAGAGCCUCUUCAGACUGGUGAACCACAGCAGACUAGUGCCAGAGGUUUGUUGCCAGAGGAACGAUCUGAUGAUGAGCAAGGAGGAGUGUCUCAAGGGAAUUAUGCCAAUCCGUAACAAGGUCAGCAAUGAGUACAAAUUAGUAAACGAGUGGGAAUGAAUAUGCAAGUAAAUAUAUUGGUUAUUGGAGAAAGAACAGUGUGGUAUAUGACCAUGUCUAUGUAAUAGCUCUCAAAAUGAAUGAUUCAUAUUCUGAGUCAUAUAUAAUCUUCUAUUGAUAUAUAUAUAUAUAUAUAUAUGUAGCUUUUUAAUAAUAAAGUAUGAUGUGAUGAUUUUACA